rnacentral:rRNA from 1 species
GACGAACGCUGGCGGCGUGCUUAACACAUGCAAGUCGAACGAAGUGGCGAACGGGUGAGUAACGCGUAAUCAACCUGCCCUUCAGAGGGGGACAACAGUUGGACACGACUGCUAAUACCGCAUACUGAAGGAGGGGAUUGCGUUGGAUGAGCUGGUUGGAGGGUGAACGGCCCACCAAGGCGAUGAUCAGUAGGCGGUCUGGGAGGAUGAACGGCCACAUUGGGACUGGGACACGGCCCAGACUCCUACGGGAGGCAGCAGUGGGGAAUCUUCCGAAAUGGACGGAAGUCUGACGGAGCAAAGCCGCGUGAGUGAUGACGGCCUUCGGGUUGUAAAGCUCUGUUAAUCGGGACGCGGUACCGGAAUAGAAAGCCACGGCUAACUACGUGCCAGCCGCCGCGGUAAUUC